CCAUUUUUCCACCUCUUCGGUCUUAUCAAAACAAGAAAAAGAAAUGUUCAUUUUUCUUUCUCAUUUCAAGCUGGUAACAACAGAGAAAGGGAAUUUGAGAUCGAGCUUCAUACUUGAAUGGAAUUCGUCAUCAUCCAAACAGCUAUAGCCAAACCAAGGUGGUAUCUUCUCCGUUACCUCUCGUUAGAUGGAGUUCAAGCUCUUCUCUCCAAUUCAUGAGCACCAGAUCUUGAGGCAACAUCAAUGGAUCUGUGUGAGACUGUUGUAGUGUUGGAAUUUAUACGCAGCAGCAACGACAACAGAGCUACAAGGUUCGUUAUCGGCUGAAAUUGGUUUUGACCUAACUUUUGGUCUUGAUUAAAUGGUGACUGUUUGGGGCGGUUCUGAGUUGUAAACGAAGAUGAAAUCAUGAAGAUGCAGAUGAAGUGUCACUGAAACUUGGUUACAGCAAAGCUAGGUCGUGAUGUUUGUUCGCUGUGAACGGAGAUUGGGUUCAUUCCAUGAGCUUGAUCGAUGGAGAUUUGGGGGUUUCAACAUCAGUUGAUAUUGGGUCUUAAUUUAAUGGUGAUGGACAGAGAAAACAGAUGAUUCUGUGGGUAUUCGAUUGAACGCAGAAAGGUGUUGCUUCCAUGAGUAUUGUGAUUAUGAAAAACAGGUCAGUGGCCGGAGUUGGGAAACAGUUCAGUUAAGAAAGUAUUGGUUGCUUGAGUCGAGUGGUGUCUAAAGAUCCCAUAAAACCAACUCUCUAUGAUAUGUGGUACUGUUAAGUGGUUUUGAAUGGUGAAAAACACUUGCUCCUGCUGUUGAUUUAACGGAGUUGGAGAAGGUGUAUAUGUUGACUGAAUUUGGAAGUCGUCGAGCUGGUGUAGUCGGUGGUGGCUGGAAGUGCAGGGAAAGAAGCUGUGGCGAAGCUUGGUUCAGCUGUUGUGAUCAAUGGCUAGCUCUGUGGUUGGAUGUGAACUGAAAGUAGUCAGGGAAUUUGGCUGAGUUGAUUGCAAAUUGUAUAAGGCAGUCUCAUAUGGAACAAGGAGAUGGAUUCCAAUUGAGUUUUUCUAUGGAGCUCGGAUCAGAGCUAAUCGAGCUGUAAUAGCCAGUGGGUCACGAGACUGUGAAUAUUCUGAAGUACAACUGUAGCCGAUAUGUAGAGUGGUUGUUUGCGAUUCUGCACUUGAAUGUUCUCGACUGAGAACAAACACAGCAGUAACAACUGGUGAAGACGGUGAUACUUCCUGAUUGCAAGUGAUGAUGGUGGAUGGGUAACCUGUGGUGGUGUUUUGUAAGAUGGAGAUGCUGGUGUUGGCUGCAUCAGUUCAGUGGAUCUGAAAUGGUCGUGACCAGUGGUGCUGAGAUGAUUGGACUGAGCUGGUUGUUGGUGGUAUUGGUCAUGGCUGUGAACAAGGAGGUGCAGACAGUGGCCAGACUUACUGUUGGCCUGGAGUUCUGUUUUUGGACUGGGCUUUGGUGUGUGCUGGCGUCCGUCACCAGAGGAGAGUUUGGAUGGUUAUUUAACCUGGCGUGAAGAGAAGAAAAGAUACGCCGUAAUCAGGGAAGCAAUUAGGUUUAGCUCCAUUUCAUUUGAUUGAUUUUCUAUAUGUUGAGUUUAUUCAUCUCUAUAUCAUUUUUUAUGGCUUUGAGCAAAACCAUGUCUAGCUAAAUCUAUUGUUAGGGUGAAGGAUGAACUUGUAGGUUUAUUUUAUUCAUGUUCUAAAACAAGGGUUUCUACCAACUUUGAGCUUAAUGUCAUUUGCUUGAGUUUCUCUACAAUGAUUUAUCUUCUAUUCAAUUUCUCAUAUUCUAUGCCAUGUAUAGUCUAUUGUUAGGUUGAUAGAAAUACUCAUUGAACCUUGUUAUUGAUUGUUUUAUGAUUAUUCCAAUACUAUGUAUGUCAUGUAUACUUAGUACUAGGGAUGUCUACCGGAAUCCGUUGAGAACAAACAAUAUUUUAUGAUAACUGAUUCCUAUAAAUCCUUAAUGAAAUAUCUUCCGUGCGUUAGUAGCUAGGUUUGCAACUUCGCAUGAGUAAAUUUGAGACGUUGUGAUAGAACAUUAGUAAACGUAACUUUCAACGGAUUCCGUAGCCCUAAUACUUCCACAUCUUUGAUACAAUCUUAAUUAUUUUGUUUUGGUUCAAUUUGUUAGCUUAUAAGAAUUCUGAAAUCUCCACUUUGAAAUAUUCUUGACUUGAAAGUUACCAGUAUUGAUUGGAAAAAGAGUUUAGCUCUCCUCGUGGGAACGAUCCAUAUUUGCCACUAUUCACAUAUAGUGCACCGUAUACUUGCGGUUAAUUAAAGUCACGGUUCUCCGAUUCAUCAAGUUUUUGGCGCCGCUACCGGGGAGUGGUUGCAAAACCCUCUCUAAUUGAUAUUUAGACUUUCUAGUCAGUAGUUUUGGAUUUAAUUUUCUGUAGUUAUUGCUUUGUUUUUAGUUUUUCUUUUAAAUUUUUGUUAGUUCUUUUUGCUGAUUUGGUUUGACCUUUUUUAGGUACCUUUCUUAGUUAUUUUGGACUGUGGCAUAGGAAUUGGUAACGAGCUCAAAGAGAGUAAGUGCUUGAUUUAUUUGCAAAGCUUUUGCAAGGUAAGUACGAUUCAGGGUUCGCUGGUAAUGACCCGGGAGCAUUAAGCCUUGGCUCCGUCACUGUCCAAAAGUGCUUGUAAAAUGUAAAUUCAGAUUUUUCUCUAUUUGACAAAUGAGUAAUAAUAUAUGGUCUGCUAUGUAAAAUAAAAAAGAACUGAAAAAGAACAGGGGAUAAAGCAAGACGAACCCAGGAUUCCCAUUUAGUAUCUUCAUUUUGUGUAGAAAUGUAGAAACUGCAUUUUGAUAUUAGAUCAUAUAACUGAGAAGCAUCUACAUAUAACUGAGCUCUGAUUUCAGGAGGUGAAGUGUUACUUCAAAUAUUAGAUACUCUAUCCACUCUAGCUAGUUUUUAGAGAGGAUAUCAGCAGCCUUAUUUCUCUCUUUAGGAACAUAAUAUAGUUUCCAAGAGCUAAAAUUUGUACAAAAAAAAAAACUCCCUAAUGUCUUGGACAUAAUGACGCAACCUCCGAUCAGUGGAACCAUUUUCCUUGUUGACAGCAUCUGCAACUUCUUUGGCGUACAAUCUGUUACACAUACUUGUCCUAAUAACAUUCCAAGAAUCCAAUUACACCAUAGAGAGAUUGAUCUAAGGACCAUCAGUAGCGUAUCAAUAGAGAUAUGGCAAGAAAUCGUCCAAGCUUGUCCUCAUAAACCCAUAUGGCAUCAUUUUCACUAAACUUUCUUUCUCGUACCACAUUCUCACACCAGAAUAAUACCAAGUUUCCAUCCCCAUCAUCCACAAAAUCUAGCUGGUAAUAUUUUCCGGUGUCCAAAUCCCUAACAGGGAUAGUAUGGGGUUUCGGAAGAACAAACCCAUGUAGUAAAUCUACUGGGUGGAGAAAUUUACAACUUGUUUGUUUGCAGCUGACUCGGCGUCUGGGUCUGAGUCAACCCCUGACUCGGUCUGAAUCGGCAGUUAGACUGUUUGCUUUCCAUUUUUCAUAACCCCUGACUCGCGAUCUGACUCGCUGCCAACCUUUGACUCGGACCCUAUGGACUCAGGUUUUUCCAUCGAGAGCAGAGAUGGAAGAUGGGGAAAAACCCUAGAUCUGAUGUCUCCUUCAUCCUCUCUCAACAAAUUCACUAAUAUCAUCAUCUCCUUCAUCAGUUUCGACUAAUCUCUCCAUUCUUUCAAGUCAUCAGCUUGUUAUAAAAGAGUCAUCAACGUCAGGGGGAAGAAAAUAAGGAAGAGGGACGAAGAUUAGAGUUUUGUGAAGGUCUUUCUUAUAAUACUGAUGACCAGCAACUUAAGGAAGCAUUCAACAGCUUUGGUGAAGUUACCGACGUUAGAGUUAUCAUAGACAGAAACUGGGAGGUCGGGGGGCUUUGGAUUUGUCAGCUACACUUCUGAGAAAAUGCUGGUUGAGGUCUAACUUCUAUACGGUCAGGUAUAAAAGUGAACGAAAUUAGUACAUCUGCAGCUAUUCAAUUAGCUAUGCCAGUGAUCUUGGUGGAAGGACUAGUGUAAGCUAUGCCAAUGAGAGACCUUCCGAACUGGUGGGAAUUUUGAG